CCCUGUCAUCAAUUACUAGCACCUCGCCUGAGCAGGGAGAUACACAGGGCAUAGUUCUAGGUGUCUUCAUACAUCUAUCGGUUGAUCUCAAGCAUGUUUCCAGGAAGAAGAAGCUGUAGCCUUAGGUAUUAAUAUAAUGAACCACUUUCACAUUUUCCUAUAGAAUCCACAUGCUUCUUGUGUCUGAGUCUUACCUUUUUCUCUCCUCUGAU
rnacentral:lncRNA from 1 species